rnacentral:rRNA from 1 species
CAGUAGCCGCGGUAAUACGGAGGGGGCUAGCGUUGUUCGGAAUUACUGGGCGUAAAGCGCACGUAGGCGGCUUUGUAAGUCAGAGGGAAAGCCCGGGGCUCAACCCCGGAAUUGCCUUUGAGACUGCAUCGCUUGAAUCCAGGAGAGGUGAGUGGAAUUCCGAGUGUAGAGGUGAAAUUCGUAGAUAUUCGGAAGAACACCAGUGGCGAAGGCGGCUCACUGGACUGGUAUUGACGCUGAGGUGCGAAAGCGUGGGGAGCAAACAGGAUUAGAUACCCGCGUAGUCCCUGUCUCUUAUACA